ACGAACGCUGGCGGCGUGUCUAAGGCAUGCAAGUCGAGUGGGUUAGACCCACGGCAAACGGGAGCGUAACACAUUGGUAACUUACCUUGGGGUCGUGAAUAAUCCCGAGAAAUCGGGAAUAAUACACGAUGGAAGCGGGGGGACAAAAGUCAUUCCCGCUUAAAGAUUUAUCGCCCCAAGAAAGGCCUAUGCCCUAUCAGCUAGUUGGUGAGGUAAUAGCUCACCAAGGCUACGACGGGUACCGGGUGUGAGAGCAUGACCCGGCUCACUGGGACUGAGACACUGCCCAGACUCCUACGGGAGGCUGCAGUCAAGAAUAUUCCUCAAUGGCCGAAAGGCUGAAGGAGCGACGCCGCGUGCAGGAAGACGCCCCUCGGGGUGUAAACUGCUUUUAUAUGUCAAGAAAAUGACGGUAGCAUAUGAAUAAGCACCGGCUAACUCCGU
rnacentral:rRNA from 1 species